rnacentral:rRNA from 1 species
UACGGAGGGUGCAAGCGUUAUCCGGAUUCACUGGGUUUAAAGGGUGCGUAGGAGGGCAGGUAAGUCAGUGGUGAAAUCUCCGAGCUUAACUUGGAAACUGCCAUUGAUACUAUCUGUCUUGAAUAUUGUGGAGGUGAGCGGAAUAUGUCAUGUAGCGGUGAAAUGCUUAGAUAUGACAUAGAACACCAAUUGCGAAGGCAGCUUACUACCCGAAUAUUGACACUGAGGCACGAAAGCGUGGGGAUCAAACAGG